CAAGAGCUAAGACACAGAGCAGCAAUCUCUGACAAGUGGUGGGGGAAAAGUAGCUCCAGGUCAACCAUCUGAGGAAGGACCAGCAAGGAAAGAUGAAAAUAAAGCAGAUGGGAUCAAGGUCCCAAAAGACCAAACUGGGAACUCUAGCUGUGGUCCAGGAGACGGAGGGAAUAAAGACCACUGGAAGGAGUCAGAUAGGAAAAUGGCAAAAAGGAUCAAGACUCCAGAUCUGCACCUAAGCCAAAGAAACCUGAGGAAAAUGCAGCUUCCAAGUUCAGUUCUGCAAGCAAGUAUGCUGCUCUCUCCAUUGAUGGUGAAGAUAAAAACGAGGGAGAAGAUUACGUUGAAUAG
rnacentral:lncRNA from 1 species